rnacentral:rRNA from 1 species
CCUACGGGUGGCUGCAGUGGGGAAUAUUGCACAAUGGGGGAAACCCUGAUGCAGCGACGCCGCGUGAGUGAAGAAGUCUUUCGGUACGUAAAACUCUAUCAGCAGGGAAGAAAAUGACGGUACCUGACUAAGAAGCCCCGGCUAACUACGUGCCAGCAGCCGCGGUAAUACGUAGGGGGCAAGCGUUAUCCCGAUUUACUGGGUGUAAAGGGAGCGUAGACGGCAGCGCAAGUCUGAAGUGAAAUCUGAUGGCUUAACCAUGAAACUGCUUUGGAAACUGGGCAGCUGGAGUGCAGGAGAGGUAAGCGGAAUUCGGAGUGUAGCGGUGAAAUGCGUAGAUAUUAGGAGGAACACCAGCGGCGAAGGCGGCUUACUGGACCGUGACUGACGUUGAGGCUCGAAAGCGUGGGGAGCAAACAGGAUUAGAUACCCCAGUAGUC